rnacentral:lncRNA from 1 species
GUGUGGUGGGGGUGCCCCCUGCGGCUGUUCCUGGGGGAUUUUGGGGGGGAUUUUAUUGGGAUUUUUUUUGGAUUUUUGGGGGAUUUUUUUUGGAUUUUUUGGGGGAUUUUUUGUGGUAUUUUGGGGGUAUUUUGGGGUGAAUUUUGGGGAUUUUUUGGUGGAUUUUGGGGUGAAUUUUGGGGAUUUCGGGGUCUCACUGUCCCUCCCCCAGGUGUGGUGGGGGUGUCCCCUGCGGCUGUUCCUGGGGGAUUUUUGGGGGGAUUUUUUUGGGAUUUUUUUUUUAUUUUUAUGAGAUUUUUUUUGGAUUUUUGGUGGGAUUUUGGGGUGAAUUUUGUGGAUUUUGGGCUCUCACUGUCCCUGCCCAGGUGUGGCGGGGGUGUCCCCUGCGGCUGUUCACGGUGGCGCUGCUGGAGGACAACAGCGAGCGGCUGCGGCGGCUGCUGGAGGCGGUGGCGCGACGUCGGGCGCUGCCCGCCCAGGUGGAGGUGGUGGAGCUGCACGACUCGGCGGUCUCUGAGUACACCUACGAGCGGACGCUGAUGAUGGAGCAGCGCUCCCAAAUGCUGCGGCAGCUGCGCCGCGCACAGGGAGGCCCCGCCCCCUCGCAGCCGCCGAGCGCCGAGGAGGAGGAGGGGGGGGGGAGGGGAGACCCGGCGGGGACCCAGCGCGUGAGUGACACCGCGGCCUUGUACUGGUUCUUACUGGGAGGGACUGGGGGGGGCUGGGGGGGGCUGGGGGGAACUGGGGAGCACUGGGACCAAACUGGGGGGGACUGGGAGGGAAUUGGCAGGGAACUGGGGGGGACUGAGGGGAAACUGGGAUAUACUGGGAUAUACUGGGAUAUACUGGUGUAUACUGGGGGGGACUGGGGGGGACUGGGGGGGCCGCGGGGGAACUGGGACCAAACUGGGAGGGACUGGUCUAUACUGGUCCAUAGUGGUUUAUACUGAUAUUAUCAGUCUAUACUGGUUUAUACUGGAUUAUACUGGUUUAUACUGGUAUAUACCGGUCUAUAUUGAUCCAUACUGGUCUAUACUGGUAUAUAUCAGUUAUAUACUGGUUUAGACUGGUUUAUACUGGUAUAUAUCAGUCUAUAUUGGUCCGUACUGGUUUGUACUGGUCUAUACUGGUAUAUACCACUCUAUACUGGUUUAUACGGAUCUAUACUGGUCAACACUGGUUUAUACUGGUUU